CAGAAGGCUGCCUGAAGGAGGGGCUGAUGUGAAGUGAUCAGAUGAAACCACUGCCCACGGGGCCCUGAGCACAGGCCUUCCCUGAGCCACGGCGCCCCAGCCUCCCAGAGGUCAGGCCCAGAGCAGGCCCCAGACGACACCGGCUUCCACCUUCCGGCUUUCGGGAGCGAGACAGACUAGGACUCGCCCCCAUCAGCCUUCAGUUGAGAACGACACCAGCGACUUUCCUCGGCCUCCAGCUUGCAGACAACAGAUGGGGAAACUUCUCAGACUCCAUAAUCAUGGUUUUCUUUCGCACACGUAAAAGAAAAAAGAUUGCACCAUGCAUGCUUCGAGGCCCUCUUCCAGGUACAAAAUCUGAAUUCUUCCAUUUGGAGGCUUUCUAUGUGCUAGAAGGGUGAGCCUGGGGCAGACCGUAGAGAAAGGCACACCCUUGUUCAUCUGAACAUUUCAACUGAGGUUAAGUGCAAUGAACCCAGACCAGAAAAAGUGUUAAGCCGCUUUCAGAACGACAAUUCAUUCAUUCUGUCCCACCGCCAUCCCGACGAGCAGGAUGCGGGACCUGCCGCGGCGAGGAGAUGGCUCACGGAGCACAACACACGCUCCCGAGGUCAGAGGCAAAUGGCACAAGAACACGCAUCUAAAAAGCAAAGCGCACGAGGCCAGGCAGCCGAGAAGGUGCGGCCAGAAUGCGUCUCUCGAGAGGGGAAGGGGGCCGCGGGUACUCACUUCUCCUCAAUCACUUGCUUCUGGUACUCCUC